rnacentral:rRNA from 1 species
GAGUUUGAUCGUGGCUCAGGGUGAACGCUGGCGGCGUGCCUAACACAUGCAAGUCGAACGAAGCGCCUGGCCCCGACUUCUUCGGAACGAGGAGCCUUGCGACUGAGUGGCGGACGGGUGAGUAACGCGUGGGUAACCUGCCUCACACUGGGGGAUAACAGUCAGAAAUGACUGCUAAUACCGCAUAAGCGCACGGAACCGCAUGGUUUUGUGUGAAAAACUCCGGUGGUGUGAGAUGGACCCGCGUUGGAUUAGCCAGUUGGCAGGGUAACGGCUACCAAAGCGACGAUCCAUAGCCGGCCUGAGAGGGUGAACGGCACAUUGGGACUGAGACACGGCCCAGACUCCUACGGGAGGCAGCAGU